UAAUGCUGCAUCAUCUGAUUUCAAUAAGAAACUGGCCCAGGGACUUGCACAUUCUCGGCACAGCUUCUAAAGGAAAAUUGAUGCGUCUAUAAAAUGUCGACUCAGCACAGUCACAGGAGUACUUAGCUUGAAAAUUCUGUUGUCUACUUACCUUGGUAUCCACAUAGGUACCAACCCCAAAAAGAAACCUGAUUUCUGCAGUGGACACCUGGAGUUUACAGUAAAUCAGUUCCCAGUAGCAGGUCACCACUUCCAUGUCCAGGAGCCUCAGAAACUGGCUUCUGAGAAGAGGGGAGAAGAGGAGAGAGACAGAGAUAGAGAGAGAUAGAGGGAUGGAGGGAGGGAGGGAAAAGAUAUUUUGAGACUCAGUAUAGCUUUUAUUUAAGCUGUUACUUAAAAGUGUGAGAAUGAGGAGAACUGGACAGGCCUGGUACGAGGGGCACACC
rnacentral:lncRNA from 1 species